AGCAGCCGCGGUAUUCCAGCUCCAAUAGCGUAUAUUAAAGUUGUUGCAGUUAAAAAGCUCGUAGUUGAAUUUCGGGGUCAAUACGUCGGUCGUGCCUCGGUACGCACUAACGUUAUUGAUUCCUCCCUUCUGACGAACCGUGAUGUCAUUAAUUUGGUGUUGCGGGGAAUCAGGACUGUUACCUUGAAAAAAUUAGAGUGUUUAAAGCAGGCAAUCGCUCGAAUACAUUAGCAUGGAAUAAUGAAAUAGGACGUUCGAACCUAUUUUGUUGGUUUCUAGGAUCGACGUAAUGAUUAAUAGGGAUAGUUGGGGGCAUUAGUAUUCAAUUGUCAGAGGUGAAAUUCUUGGAUUUAUUGAAGACUAACUACUGCGAAAGCAUUUGCCAAGGAUGUUUUCAUUAAUCAAGAACGAAAGUUAGGGGAUCGAAGACGAUCAGAUACCGUCGUAGUCUUAACCAUAAACUAUGCCGACUAGGGAUCGGAUGAUGUUAAAAAAAUGACGCGCUCGGCACCUCAUG
rnacentral:rRNA from 1 species